rfam:Candidatus Marinimicrobia bacterium TMED144 67828, whole genome shotgun sequence.
GGUAAAGCUACUAAGAGCGUAUGGAGGAUGCCUAGGCACAUGGAGGCGAUGAAGGACGUGGCAAGCUGCGAUAAGCUUCGGGUAGGUGCAAACAACCGUUAAUCCGGAGAUUUCCGAAUGGGGAAACCCAGUCUGGGUUAUGCUAGACUACAUUCAUUUGAAUAAAUAGAAUGAAAUGAGCCAACGGGGAGAACUGACACAUCUAAGUACCCCCAGGAAAAUAAAAUAAAAAUGAUUUCCUAAGUAGCGGCGAGCGAACAGGAAAAAGCCUAAACCGUUAACGUGUCAAGCCCAAGAGCGUUGCGAUAAUGGUGUUGUGGGUUAUAAAUAAGAUCAAUCUUGGUUGAUUUGACAAGUCAAAAAAUUAAUUAUUAGAUGAAUUGGUAUGGAAAGGCCAGCCAUAGUAGGUGAUAGCCCUGUAAUUUAAAAUAAUUAAUCUUGUUUUUUAUAUACCCGAGUAACACGGAACACGUGAAAUUUUGUGUGAAUCUGCCGGGACCAUCCGGUAAGGCUAAAUACUCCCAUGUGACCGAUAGUGAACUAGUACCGUGAGGGAAAGGUGAAAAGUACUCCUAGCGGAGAGUGAAAUAGAACCUGAAACCGUGCGCUUACAAGCGGUCGGAGCUUUAAUUUAUUAGAGUGACGGCGUGCCUUUUGCAUAAUGAUCCAGCGAGUUGCUCGUAUGUUGCGAGGUUAAGAUAUAAAUAUCGGAGCCAUAGGGAAACCGAGUCUUAAUAGGGCGUUUAGUAGCAUGCGGCAGACCCGAAACCGAGUGAUCUAGCCAUGACCAGGUUGAAGGUGCGGUAACACGCACUGGAGGACCGAACCAGGGUACGUUGAAAAGUGCUUGGAUGAGUUGUGGCUAGGGGUGAAAGGCCAAUCAAACUCGGAGAUAUCUGGUUCUCGUCGAAAUGCCUUUAGGGGCAGCGUUGUAUUAGUGUUUCGGGGGUAGAGCACUGAAUGGGCUAGGGGGCCUACCAGCUUACCAAACCCUAUCAAACUCCGAAUACCGAAAACAUGAUGUACAGCAGUGAGGCUAUGGGUGAUAAGGUUAAUAGCCAAGAGGGAAACAACCCAGAUCAUCAGCUAAGGUCCCAAAAUCAUUACUAAGUGAUAAAGGAUGUGAAAUCGCCCAGACAGCUAGGAGGUUGGCUUAGAAGCAGCCAUCCUUUAAAGAAAGCGUAAUAGCUCACUAGUCAAGGGAUUUCGCGCCGAUAAUUUCCGGGACUAAGUAAUGUACCGAAGCUAUGGGAUUUAUUCGAUUUGAAUAAAUCGGUAGACGAGCGUUCUAUUAACCUGUGAAGGUCGAUUUGCGAAAGCGGCUGGAGGAGAUAGAAAUGAGUAUGCUGGAAUGAGUAGCGAUAAAGCCCGUGAAAUCCGGGCUCGCCGAAAACCUAAGGUUUCCUGAGUAAAGUUAAUCUGCUCAGGGUUAGUCGGACCCUAAGCCGAGGCCGAAAGGCGUAGGCGAUGGAAAACAGGUUUAAUAUUCCUGUACCAGUUUAAUAUUGUUUGAACUAAGGGGGGACGCAGAAGUGAAAGGAGAUCCCGGUUUUGAUUGUCCGGGUUUAAGAAUGUAGGAAGUUUUGGUAGGCAAAUCCGCCAGAACAAUUCUGAGAUUCGAAUAGGAGGGCCUAGCCCAUAAACUCUCCCUAAUCAGGCUGCCAAGAAAAUCCUCUAUGUUAGAUUUUAAACUGACCGUACUCCAAACGGACACACGUAGGUGAGGAGAGUAUCCUAAGGCGCUUGAGAGAAUCCAAGUAAAGGAACUCGGCAAAUUAGCCCCGUAACUUCGGGAGAAGGGGUGCCAUUUAAGGAGAUGAACUUUUCGUUCAAAUUUUUGAGUGGCCGCAGUGACCAGGCCCAAGCGACUGUUUACUAAAAACACAGGUCUCUGCUAAGUCGUAAGACGAUAUAUAGGGACUGACACCUGCCCGGUGCUGGAAGGUUAAAUGGAGAGGUUAGCUUAUGCGAAGCUUUGAAACGAAGCCCCAGUAAACGGCGGCCGUAACUAUAACGGUCCUAAGGUAGCGAAAUUCCUUGUCGGGUAAGUUCCGACCUGCACGAAUGGUGUAACG